rnacentral:rRNA from 1 species
CACGUAGGGGGCAAGCGUUGUCCGGAUUUAUUGGGCGUAAAGAGCGUGUAGGCGGCCAAGCAGGUCCGCUGUGAAAACUCGAGGCUCAACCUCGAGACGUCGGUGGAAACCGUUUGGCUAGAGUCCGGAAGAGGAGAGUGGAAUUCCCGGUGUAGCGGUGAAAUGCGCAGAUAUCAGGAGGGACACCGGUGGCGAAGGCGGUUCUCUGGGCAUUACCUGACGCUGAGGAGCGAAAGUGUGGGGAGCGAACAGG